GGCUAGACACUUUCAUAAAUUUAAAAACAUAAAUGUUAAAUUUUCUUUAUAAAUUUAUAGUAGACUGUCGAUUUUUUUUUAUUAAGUACAGUAACAGCAGUGGGAGAGUAUAUUGAAGCCCUAGGGAAUUUAAGGUUGUUUUGUUUAGCUUCACUCCAUGGCCCCGGCUGGCCUUGACCUCACUAGGUUGACCAGGCUGGCCUCAAACCUUCAGCAAUCAUCGUGCCUUAGCUUGCCAAGUCUUGGGCUCACUGGCACCUGCUAGUAUGCUUGGCUGGGGCAAGAAUGUAGAAGCCUGUAAAGAUGUCUGCCAACCUCACUGAAAGGUAUCCAAGCUAACCUUACAAACACAGAGCAGAGACACACAUACACAGGUCGCUCUGUGGUUCUAGUGACAGCUCAAAACAGUAAUAACCUAAACAUCCACUAACAGAAGGAACAAAAGGCUGCCCGAAUACGCUGGAAUGUUGUAAAACUGCAAACAAGUGACUGAGAAAAUCACCCCCAACAUGGGACUCAUAAUGAGAAAAACACAGCAAACUGUACUAAGAUACAUACAGCAAGAGUGGUUCGUGUAACAUUUGAAAACACAAAGGACAGGGACAGUCCCUAUUAUUAGAAUCUGGUCUAUUCCUACACGUAAUAGAAUGUAAAAUUUCAGGUAGCAGAACCUAUAUGACAUAAUUGAAAAUAGGAAAAACUAUAUUGUGUCCUUGAUUCAUUCCAAAUCUCCCCACCCUGCAAACGGCUUAAACACUAUUCCAUACUCACAUACUAUCUACCUGCUUCAGCCCUGCAAACUGAGAAUCCGGCCUACGACUCUCCCAUGACUGCACUAUUCACUCCUCUCGCCUGUAUAGCACUGGUCAACAGACCUUAAUGUGGCAUUUCCUUUGAAUGUAGUAAAGACUGCCCAUGCAUUGAAGGUCCUCUGGUAUCUUCAUGUGCAUUUCUAUAUAUCACAGGGCAUGCUGAAUACUGUAAUAAUAUGGCACAACACAUUUUUUAUUGUUACUUUUUGAGACAAGGUUUCUUUGUGUAACCCUGACUAUGUUGUGGCUUGAGAGGCAAAUCCUGGAAAAGCAGUACUAAUCCAACACUUUGUCUAAUUGCCGUAUUUCAUUUUCUCAUCAGACAUUUUCGAUGAGUACAAAUAAGUCAUUUAUUCAUAUGUACUUCAUCAUACAGAUCUAGGCUCUAUGAAAUUACCAACAUUAACAGUGAUAGCAUAGCUGUUAAUUUUUUCUAGUCUAAACUGACGGACCAAACUAAAUAAUCUGUAUAACAAACUAGUAAGGCCACUGUACUGUCUGUCUCUGAAUACAUGUAUAUUUUAUAUCCAAACACAUUCUCUCACAUCAGAAAGAGAAGCAAUAAAUCUAUGCUAUUGUGAACUCAGGAAGCAAUUGACAUGGCUUCAAUUCUGUGCAGCAUUAAUACUUUCUUCCUGAAUAGGCAAAUGCAUAAAACCAAAGAUGACAACACUAUUUCCAAAAGUCUCUUCAUAGAGAUAAUAAGGAUCUUUGACAGAUAGGAACAAAUAUAAAGACAGUUUGGGUUUCAAAAAAGUCUUAGUCAAAAUCAGUCUCCUACUUAACUGGCUCCAACGUAGGCUGUAGCUCAUCUAUAGUGCCAUGUAGCAUACAUGUACAUCUAUAGUGUCAUGAAGAGCCCAAGACUAAGGAUGUAAAGUCUGCCAUAUCCAUAAUGCCUCAGAAGCAGCAAGCUAACAAGUUAAAUUAAGUACAUGUCAUACUGCUAGCAGAAAACUUUGUUAUCUUCUUUCUUGAUGGGCUAGGGUCUCUAAUAAUAUAGGCUGGCCUCAGGAUAAGGAUGACCUUGAAUAAUUCUCCAUUUCUGAAGUGCUGUGAUUAUAGCCUUGUAUCACAAUGUCCCACCCCUACAGAGACUUUUAAAAGUAAAAACAGAAAGCAAAGACUCAAUUACCCUUCUUUCACAGUAACUGGUCAACACUGCCCUCUGGUGAUACAAUGUAAUAAACAAGGCAGCAUCUUUUACUUUGAUUCAGUUAUGUACCUGCAUCUCUUUGGAUGUACAUCUCACCAACGACAAAAAUAGAUUUAAGAUGGCCUUCAUUAUGUAUUGUUCAUAAAAUUAGAAACUUUAAAAAGGCUUAAAAUCAAAGACUCUGGAAACAUGCUAUAGAAGACACACAUCACUAUGUAGUAAAUUACAUUUCCACAUAAAACAUGUGAUUAAGAAAGACCCUGAAGGCAAAUUUCCUAAAGUUAAAAGCACAGUGGGACAACAAGAAAGGUCUUAUCAUGU
rnacentral:lncRNA from 1 species